rnacentral:rRNA from 1 species
UUCCCUACGGGGCGCAGCAGUGGGGGAUAUUGCACAAUGGGGGGAACCCUGAUGCAGCGACGCCGCGUGGGCGAUGGAGCGCCUCGGCGCGUAAAGCCCUAUCAGCAGGGAAGAAGAUGACGGUACCUGACUAAGAAGCCCCGGCUAAAUACGUGCCAGCAGCCGCGGUAAUACGUAUGGGGCAAGCGUUAUCCGGAUUUACUGGGUGUAAAGGGAGCGUAGACGGUGUGGCAAGUCUGAAGUGAAAGCCCGGGGCUCAACCCCGGGACUGCUUUGGAAACUGUCAUGCUGGAGUGCUGGAGAGG